rnacentral:misc_RNA from 1 species
AGGAUACAUAACCCUCAUUGACGAACCAACGAUCCUCGAUAACAUUAUAAUAAUAAAUAAAAGGAUCCAUCACAUCCAAUAUCAUCAGAAGAAGUAGAAUUACAUGUCAAAUGAGGCAUUAGCUUUUUAUGCUGCCAAAGAAUCUAGAAAGCGGCAAAGGACCAUCAGCUUCAUCGUCGCUUGUAGACUGCUUCAACCUCGACCUCAACUGAUGCUUCUUUUCUUUCUUCCUUCUCUUAGACUUGGAUCUUGAUUUUCUGGAUUCUCUAUCUUCAUCGUCAGAACUUGAAGAUUCAGAUGAUGAGCUUGAAGAGCUGGAAUCGGAAUAUCUCCUUGAACGCUUUCUCUUUUUGCUUCUCUGUUUCCUUGCAUCUUUGUCCUUCUUAUCCUUUUUGCGGCUGUGUUUACUGCUGGAAUGAUUCCUUCCAUGAGAGAGUUUGCUGGCCCUUUCAGCAUCUAGCUGAGCCCUGUAUUCCCUCAUCAUUUUAUCUUUGUCUGCUUCUAGCUCUCCUUUUCUCACUUCUUCUUCCUUCUGUUUCUGUUUGAACUCUUCCCAGGUAACUGUAUGAGAUGUUUUGAGGCUUGCUAAACGAGCCGCAUGCCACUCUGGUGUAUGAAAAGAACCAUCCACCAUUCCAUCAUCAACUUCAUCAGGUCCACCUGAGCUAGAACCCAACCUUGCUCGCUGCAUAGCUUUGUAAGCUUGAUUUUUUCCCAUUUUUUUUACUUUUGGGUUCAAAAUCAAAAGGGAAAACCCCCAGUUCAGAACGAACAAUUUCAAGAGCAAAAAGAGAGUAGUUGUGGCAUAAAAAGGAAGAUCUUGAGGAAACUUUAUAGGUUUUGGGGUGGACUUUGAGAUGAAAGGGUUAUCAAAACACACGAUGAUAACAGAUUGGUAUAGAUCUUCUUUUCCACAAGCAAAAAUACAACAAUUUGGGAAUUACCGGACU